AUGAAUACAGACUUCUAACAGAAGGUUUUGCAUUUAUAUAUUUGCUGUAUAAAUAUAUAAAAUAUAUAAAUGAGUAUUACUAUUAUUAUGAUGACCACUAUUAUUUCAUUGUACACAUAUGGAGCUCUCUGCCACACAUUGACCUAAGAGCAUUACAUGCAUCAUCUCAUUUAAUCCACCCAACAAUUCAUUGUUGAUUCCUGAGAGCACAGAAAGGUAAAAUAAUUUGCCCAAGGUCACACAGCUUGUAGCUGGAAGGGCCACGAUUCAAACCAGAGAGUCUGGCUCAAGAUCCGAGGAACAAACUCCUGUAGCAUACUUCCUGCAUUUGGGGUUCUCUAGAUAGAGCAAUGAUGUGUGAUUUAGUAAUCAAUGUUUUUUCGCAAUGACAUUUUUAAAACCCAUGUCCCCUCUUCCCCAUCCUUCUUUAAACCAUCUUUAAACAACCAGACUAUGAACCCCUCAAGGCCAGCGACCAUGCUUCAUUCAUCUCUGUGUCUUCAGUGCUCAGCUUAAUGGCUGGCACUCCACAGAUGCUCAAUAAAACAUUUGCUGAAUGACUAGACAAACCAGAAAGAGACUGUUUACCUGAAUUGCAAAGUGCGUAUCUGGCUCUUUUGGGUACAAAAACUUUCCGACAUCUAAAAGGCCUGUCAUUUUUUAAAUGUCAGGACAGGUAGUGACAUUCACAUUACAUUUCCAUUAGUGAUUUUCAGAGUCUGAGAGCAGAAGACCAGCAAUUACUCACUCCCAGGCAUCUGCUCCAUAAAUAUCUUAAUGUAGCCGUCCUCCGAAACAGAGCCCAGGUACUGAACGAUGUUGCGGUGCUUGAGGUACUUGUGCAGAGCUAUCUUCUCAUGCAGGGGCUGAGAGUACCUAUUGGGAAAAAACAAAGCCAGUGUCUCCCACAAGUCCCUAGGGUUCAGAGCUCGCAUCACAGCUCACCAGUACCUGCUGCCAUUGAGGACUAGCCUUUCUUUCUGGAAACUUCCCUUGGCUCCCGAUACUAACUCAGCUUCUCAUCUGUAAAAUAGGGAAAACAACGCCAGCCAUGCUGGGCUGCUGGGGACCAAAGUGUGUCUAGGUGCUUAGUCAGCGGAGCGCCUGGCAGGGCAACAAAAACAUGGUCCUGAUAUCAUGAAACACUGUGAUGUGUCCAGGACAGGAUUGUACUGCAUUUGAAGUUUAGAGCAAAUGAUCUAAAUUUGAGAUGAUCUAAAUUGGAUGUAGAAACAAGAAGUACACAGUGGCCCAACAUCUUCUAUCAAUAUAUCAGCAUACUUUAACAUGAGUUUGGGAAUAGCCGACGGAUGAGUGACCUGCAGAAAUAUUUGAAGACUGUGGCAAACAGCACUCAGUGUUCACCGAUCUCCAUUUCUUCUUCUCCCUGGGCACACAGCGAGGCUGUAUUUCCCAGUCUCCUUUGCAGCUAGGUUGGGCCAUAUGACUGAGUUCUGGCCAAUGGAAUGAGAGGAGUGAUGUACGCCACCUGCAGGCCUGGCUCAUGAAAAGCUCCACACCAAUUCUCUACAUUCUCUUUCCCCAUCCACUACAUGAAGGAACAGAGCCGCCUGCCAACCUGGAUAUGA